GGCCAAGGAAGAGGAUUUAAUGCAUCACCACAUAGGAAUUAUCAAUCGCCUGUGCGCAAUAAUCAAGUCAAUAGUGUUUCUCUGCCAACCCAGCUCCACCCUGCACAACGAUAUUCUGCUCAAAGUCGAGGACAACCUUUUCUGCAAGUAACUGGUCAGCAGUUAGUACAGCAAACGGGUGCUGGAUCUCAAGUUUCAUCUCCCCCCAAAACAGCACAAGUUAUGAAUACUUGUGAACCUGGAGAGCUUGCAUUUACUUCAGAGUCCAAUAAAUUAACGAGUUCCGUGGUUGCAAAAGGGAAAGGCAGUCUUCAGGGUCCUGGAAGGGGAUAUGGGGCUCACAUUGUAGGUGCACCUGGAAACAUGGGUAGUGGUCACAGUAAUCAGAAGUUUUCUGGGACUCCAACCUUUCUUCCAGUCGUGCAAUUUGGAGGCCAGCACCCAGGUGGCGUUGGA
rnacentral:misc_RNA from 1 species